CGGGACGUAGCGCAGCCCGGUAGCGCACCUGAAUGGGGUUCAGGGGGUCGCGGGUUCAAAUCCCGCCGUCCCGA
rfam:Gemmatimonadetes bacterium 13_2_20CM_2_65_7 13_2_20cm_2_scaffold_4251, whole genome shotgun sequence.